AUUGAACGCUGGCGGCAUGCUUUACACAUGCAAGUCGAACGGUAACAGGCCGCAAGGUGCUGACGAGUGGCGAACGGGUGAGUAAUGCAUCGGAACGUGCCCAGUCGUUGGGGAUAACUACUCGAAAGAGUAGCUAAUACCGCAUACGAUCUAUGGAUGAAAGCGGGGGACCGUAAUGCCUCGCGCGAUUUGAGCGGCCGAUGUCAGAUUAGGUAGUUGGUGGGGUAAAGGCUCACCAAGCCAACGAUCUGUAGCUGGUCUGAGAGGACGACCAGCCACACUGGGACUGAGACACGGCCCAGACUCCUACGGGAGGCAGCAGUGGGGAAUUUUGGACAAUGGGCGCAAGCCUGAUCCAGCAAUGCCGCGUGCAGGAAGAAGGCCUUCGGGUUGUAAACUGCUUUUGUACGGAACGAAACGGCUCUGGUUAAUACCCGGGGCUAAUGACGGUACCGUAAGAAUAAGCACCGGCUAACUACGUG
rnacentral:rRNA from 1 species